AUUGAACGCUGGCGGCAGGCCUAACACAUGCAAGUCGAGCGGAUGAAGGGAGCUUGCUCCUGGAUUCAGCGGCGGACGGGUGAGUAAUGCCUAGGAAUCUGCCUGGUAGUGGGGGAUAACGUCCGGACACGGGCGCUAAUACCGCAUACGUCCUGAGGGAGAAAGUGGGGGAUCUUCGGACCUCACGCUAUCAGAUGAGCCUAGGUCGGCUUAGCUAGUUGGUGGGGUAAAGGCCUACCAAGGCGACGAUCCGUAACUGGUCUGAGAGGAUGAUCAGUCACACUGGAACUGAGACACGGUCCAGACUCCUACGGGAGGCAGCAGUGGGGAAUAUUGGACGAGGGGCGAAAGCCUGAUCCAGCAAUGCCGCGUGUGUGAAGAAGGUCUUCGGAUGGUAAAGCACUGUAAGUUGGGAGGAAGGGAAGUAAGUUAAUACCUGGCUGUGUUGACGUUACCAACAGAAUAAGCACCGGCUAACUUCGUG
rnacentral:rRNA from 1 species